rnacentral:sRNA from 1 species
AUAGCACCCAUCAGGGGAAGGUAAGAACCUUCGACCAAGGUUCGCGCCGAGUAUAGCGAGACAACGACGCGCAGCGGCGGCCCGAAGGGCGAGGAACAACGUGACGAGUAAUCCUUCCCCCACCACCA